UACGUAGGGGUCGAGCGUUGUCCGGAGUUACUGGGCGUAAGGCGCAUGCAGGCGGCUCAUUACGCAUGGCGUGAAAGCCCCCGGCUCAACCGGGGAGGGUCGUCGUGAACGGGUGAGCUUGAGGGUAUCAGGGGCUGGUGGAAUUCCCGGUGUAGUGGUGAAAUGCGUAGAGAUCGGGAGGAACACCUGUGGCGAAGGCGGCCAGCUGGGAUACACCUGACGCUGAGAUGCGAAGGCGUGGGGAGCGAACGGGAUUAGAUACCCCUGUAGU
rnacentral:rRNA from 1 species